GGAAAGAAUUAGAAUUUCUUAAUGUAUCUGUACAUACGCAGCAAUGUUCUGCCACGGAUGGCAGAACAAAUCCUAACGAGCCAUGGAAGGCUCGUUUAGGAUGUUUGCGUUACGCAUCCAUUCUCUUUAUCAGAUACAUUUAGAAAUUCUUAUUCUUGUAC
rnacentral:ncRNA from 1 species